AACGGACGCUGGCGGCAGGCCUAACACAUGCCAGUCGAGCGAGGACUUCGGUUCUAGCGGCGGACGGGUGAGUAACGCGUGGGAAUGUGCCCUUCUCUACGGAAUAGCCCUGGGAAACUGGGAGUAAUACCGUAUACGCCCUAUUGGGGAAAGAUUUAUCGGAGAAGGAUCAGCCCGCGUUGGAUUAGGUAGUUGGUGGGGUAAUGGCCUACCAAGCCGACGAUCCAUAGCUGGUUUGAGAGGAUGAUCAGCCACACUGGGACUGAGACACGGCCCAGACUCCUACGGGAGGCAGCAGUGGGGAAUCUUAGACAAUGGGGGCAACCCUGAUCUAGCCAUGCCGCGUGAGUGAUGAAGGCCUUAGGGUUGUAAAGCUCUUUCAGCUGGGAAGAUAAUGACGGUACCAGCAGAAGAAGCCCCGGCUAACUCCGUG
rnacentral:rRNA from 1 species